CCUUCUUAGGCUGUGGGGAAGUCACAGUCUGCUCUUGUUUUACAACAGCGUAACUUAGCAAAAACAGUUCCUGCUGAGGAUGGAGAAUAUAUUCAUAUUUCAUAGCUGUGCAAAUAAAGUCUUUCACAGGCUGUGCUAAUGAAAGGCUUCAGCAGGGAAGAAGCAAGUCUGGAAAAACUAAUUACAGGUUUAGAGGGAGAAUGGAUCAUCUCUGUGUGUACUGGGGCGCUUAUCAGGUCUGACUGUGGGAUUUCUAGUUGUAAGGAUGUGGAAAUCCUCAGGGCUGUACACCUCUGGCCAAGGCUGUAUACCCCAGCCCUCACCUCGGCAGUCUUCCUCAUGAGUAGGUCUUGGUGGGUGCCUGUACAGUUUUUCCUUAGGCAGGCAGGUAGUGAAGGGGCUUUCCAAACACUCUGCAACACCAAUGCAUGCAGCUGUGGAAGGGCCCUUCGUUACUUAAGCACUCAUUAUUUAAGUCUGGCAGGCUGUAUAGUCUUCAUCCUUGCAGGUUUUCAAGACCAGGCUGGAUAAAGCUCUGAGCAACCUGGUCACAGCUGACCCUGCUUUGAGCAGGGGGUUGGGAUGGAGACCUCCUGAGUGCCCUUCCUGCCUGAAUUGUCCCAUGAACCCUCUGGAAGCCUGUAAUUGGGAAGUUAUUUCCCUGUGCACUGCUGUGUUUUGAUACUUCAGCUUUCCAGCAGCCUGCCUACAGCAAAGUCCUCCAGCCUCCGUUGUUCGUGUGCACUGAAAUCCUUGCCUGCACAGGGACUUGUCUCUUGAAUUUUGUGUUCAUCCUCCUAUGGUUCCUAAACCUGAGAGUGCCCACAAGGCCUGGGACUGGUACAGGAGCAGCCGGUGCUUAGCCAGGAGACUGCAGACCUGGGACCUGCCUCCGCUCCAGGACCAGCCUGGGGCUUUGCUUUCAGAGCUCAGAAGGAGACCACACACUUCUCUAGACAACUUGGAUUUCACUCGAAAUCUGUCUGGCAGGACCUGGCUUCCAGCCUGCUUGGAACCGUGGCCCAUGGAGAUUAAUGACAUGGAAAAUGAGGAACACUGACUGUAAAACUCUGAAAUUGUGGGAAAAGACAGCUUAGAGCCAGCCUCUGGUGAGGAGGUGUGUGACUUGUUCUGGGAUGGUGUUUGGAGAGGCAAAGGCUCCUGCUGCUCUUACAGGGGAACAGCCUCAUAUUUAACAAGAACGUCUUUAAAAAAGUCUGUCUCUCUGCUCACAAAGGAGCUGGACUGUCUGAAGUACAGCAAGUCCUUUCCUUCCCCUCCCAGAGGGUGUGAUCCAGGUUUCCGCGGUCAAGAACGUGUUCCUGAAAAUAUGGGACAGCACGGGCUGGAGCAAGGAAUCAGCCAGAAACUCCAGUCUCUGAUUUCACCUCCUGACGUGGAGAGGGCACGUCCCUGCCCUGUGCCCCAGCCUUCCUGCCCGUAAAUCAGCAGCUUCCUCGUGUGUUUUGGGGAGCCGUGAUAACUGGCAUGCAGCAGGUGCGAACCAUCCUCACCGCUUCCAAGGGUUUUCCUGCAAUGCCAAGGCACUGGGGAUGUGCUGCUGCUUUUGGGGACACUGAACUCUCAGGCUCCAGUCCGGUGUGUCUUGGUUAUGCGUUUGUGGCUGGACUGGUGAUGGUAUGAUGGUGCUCAGACUGGCAGGGGGAUUCUGGGGGUCUCAGGCAGCAGGAGGAACAGGGAAUGGGGAUGCAGGUGGUGGCUGUUUCCCCUGGGUGGGAUGUCUCUCUGGACUGGCUCCAUCAGGUCUCCCAGCCACAAGGAAAGCGAGUCAUCUCCUUGUCACAGGAAACAACGCUAAGAUGUGUCUCAAAAUCACCUCUCAUUUAAUGCUGGUAGGAAAGAAUUAGCAGGAAAAUACCAGCAAGAAAGUGUUUCUGUAAUACUGGGCAUGGGAAAGCAACACCUUAUGAAGCCACUGCCACGUGGCAAUGGUGCCAGCCUUGCUUUUUUUUUUGAGAUCUAAAGUAGAAGACAGAUGAAAUGCAGAUUCAAAAUCCUAUUUGUAUCCAGACAACAGGCUUUCAUCUGGGAAAGUCCUCUGAGCAAAGUGCAUCUCUCCACCAGGCAGGUAUAAUUCACUUAGAAACACAUCUUGGGUUUCUUGUCCCCAAAAAGGGGCUUGGGCACCUCUUACUGGAGCAGGAUGGCUUGGCUGUGGCCACGCUCUGUGCGGGAGGGAUGUGAGCAGGAGCCACGAAGCUGAGACCUUCCCUAGAAAGCUGCCAUUGGGCUCAGCAGCCUGCUGCUGGCUGGGGGAAGCAACUCCACUGUUCAGGUGAAUUUUGGGAUGUGGUUAUUUUCAAAACUCCUCGCUGUGUUUUUCAUCUGGAUAGUCACUACUCCAAAAAUAUCGUAGCUUGAAAUGUUUUUGCAAAUGAGGGCGGGUUUGAGGUAGGUACAGAGAUGCUGGGGGGGCGGGGGGGGGGGGGGGGGGUGGAUGGUGUGGAUAUGGGCUGAAGGAAAAAGGUGAUUUCCACCUGUCAGGUCAUGCACUUUGUCACUUUGUGCCCAAGGGUUUUUGUGCUUGUUUCCUGCCUGGCAGAGCUCUGUCCUCUGAGCCUCUCACUCUGUGUUUCCUUCCCCAAAUCCCAAUGGAACGAUAAAAGCCCUUUUCUCCCCAUUCUGAUUGCACGCACAGCUCCAAGCUGAGUCAAUGGAGGCAGUGGUGGUGAGCACACCCAGAGGUGGCACAGAGCAAAGGAUUUUUCAUUUUUCUGCUGCAGCUCCCUCUCUCAGAGCUGUCUGCUUCUGGAGCAGAGGUGUUUGGCCAUCCCUUCUGCGGCACGGCUGCGGACCUUUCCCAGCAGCCUGUCUCGAGCAGGACCGGUGGAUGCAGGCGCUGGAUAAAUCAGCAGAGCAGAGGCUCAGAGAGCAGUGAUUUAGGAGGCUGGGGCAUGUCCCCUUCUGGUUGUGACCCUGUGAAAGUGGGCUGGGGAGAGGGAGAGGACCGUUUGAAGUCCCAGCCAGCCGCCUUUCCUUUUCAGCCCGUUAAGCCAGAGCUGAGCUCGAUUGAAUUAACAUCCCCUGGGUGGAAACAGGGUGAGGGCAGGCUGCUGCCCCGUGGGUGAGCCCGCGGUGCCCGUGGCACGGAGAGGCCGGCUGUGGGACCAUCCCCGCCCUUCACAAACAGCCCUGGAGGGGCUGGGUGGGUGGUUUGGUCCUUUGAUUAUUUCCCCUAACCCAGCCCAAGCAAACAGUGAAGAAACCAGUGAGAAGGGAAGGUGAGGAUGAAUGAGCCCUUAGAUGGGGAAAGGUGGAAAUCACCUGGAAAGAAGAAAGAAAUAUAUAUGUGUGUAUGUAUAUAUAUAUUUAUAUACAUAAAUUUAUAUAAAAACCUGACCCAGCCCUGAACUUUUCUGGCAGGGAAGCAAAAUUCAUGAGGAAACAUAGCACAGCCUGCAAUUCCUCAUUAUAUCAGUGGGAGCGACGUUACCGGGGCCAGUAAAUCUGCCAGAUGGCAAGGGGGGGAUUAGGUGGGAAGGUGGGACCUGCAAGAGGGUGUUGUGUCUCCCCUCCCCAGCUCCCCCUCCACCCCCACCUUCCUUGUUCAGGAAUGUUAAUCACCCCAGCUCCCAAAGUGCUCUUGGAGGUUUGCUUACAAUAAAAUCUUUACAGUGCUUGGAAAGGGGUUUUCCUUCCUUCUCUUCCUUGCAUGCAAGGUUUGGGAGGGAUGGCAGCUCAAAGCUUCUGUCCUGUUGGCGUCUCUGGGUUCUCUCCACCCACAGGAGACUUGAGGUGAGGAACCUCUCAGUGAUGCUACAGGCUCCUGGUAUGACGGGGACCAAAACUUGCACUGGCAACAGUCUGUUUCCUUGUUUGUUAACGCCAGGUCCACGUGGUGCGGCAUCACCGGCAGCAUAAGCACAAUUGGGAUGAGAGGAGUGUGGACCACAUCUCUCCACAUUUCUUUGAGCAUCCUGCAAGCCCUCGGUGGGUUCCGGUUUGCUCAUCAGGUGGCUUUUGCCAUGUCAGGGCUGGGAUCAGGCUGCAGCCAGACCCUCUGAACGUGUUAAGGCUUGUUUGCCCAUUUGUCUGCCCAAGCAUUUUCAAGAAACUCACAGAAAUUUAAUUUGUCUGAGAUAACUGCCCUCGGUUAGGUUAGUCUGCGAACAAGGAGCAGGCUCAGAGUUAUCUGCAGGGCAUGGAAAAGGAAACAACCCGAUAGAUACAUGCCUCAAAAUCCCAUAAGCCUCGUUUGCUUAAGUAACCAGACCAACGCUGCCAGGUUAGGGUUGGUCCCAGCUGGGUGUUGGCUGCCCUGUGCUUCGCAACACUUCUGACACAUCAAGGAAAAGCCUUUUCAACAAACGCAUCAACAGAGAGAAAAUAAAAGAUUAGAAAUCAACAGACUGGCAGAGAACCCAGCUGGCACCUUUAUCCCCAGACUUAUUUAUUUUCCACCAUCAUUGUUGUUGUCCUUGCUGCUCCAUCACGCCAGGAAAAACCGCAGCUCGGUCCUCCUUCCCCAGCUGUCCUGCUGCUCCCCCUUCAGCCUCCGCUUCCUCCUCUUCCUCCU